rnacentral:rRNA from 1 species
CGUGUAGGCGGUUGGUUAAGUCGGGUGUGAAAGCCCGGGGCUUAUCUUCGGAAGUGCAUCCGAAACUGGCCAACUAGAGCGCGGUAGAGGAGGGUGGAAUUCCUGGUGUAGCGGUGAAAUGCGUAGAUAUCAGGAGGAACACCGGCGGCGAAGGCGGCCCUCUGGACCGUUGCUGACGCUGAGACGCGAAAGCGUGGGGAGCAAACAGGAUUAGAUACCCUGGUAGUCCACGCUGUAAACUAGUGGGUACUAGGUGUUCGGGGUGUUCGACCCCCUGAGUGCCGACGCUAACGCAUUAACGUACCCCGCCGUGGGGACUACGGCCGCAAGGUUAAA